rnacentral:rRNA from 1 species
UCAAGCAAAAAAGAGCGCAGGGUGGAUGCCUUGGCACUAAGAGCCGAAGAAAGACGUGAUAAGCUGCGAAAAGCUGCGGGGAGGAGCAAAUAUCCACUGAUCCGCAGAUGUCUGAAUGGGGAAACCCGCAUGAGCACACCUCAUGCAUCCAUACGCCAAUCCAUAACGUAUGGAAGGGAACCGCCUGAACUGAAACAUCUAAGUAGGGCGAGGAAGAGAAAGAAAAUUUAUCGAUUUCCAAAGUAGCGGCGAGCGAAAUGGAAAGAGGCCAAACCGGAGUGCGUGCACUCCGGGGUUCGGACCGCAUUUAAGAUCUGAUGAUCCUAGCAGAAAGGUUUUGGGAAAGCCUGCCGGAGAGGGUGAAAGCCCCGUAAGCGAAAGGAAAGCCAGCUGAGCGGUAUCCAGAGUACAUCGAGACACGAGAAACCUUGAUGGAAUGAGCGGGGACCACCCCGUAAGCCUAAAUACUCCUUAGUGACCGAUAGCGCAUAGUACUGUGAAGGAAAGGUGAAAAGGACCCCGGGAGGGGAGUGAAAGAGAACCUGAAACCCUGUGUUUACAAGCUGUGGGACAUCUUUACAUGAUGAACCGCGUACUUUUUGUAGAACGGUCCGGCGAGUUGCGGAUGCCGGCAAGGUUAAGCACUUAAGGUGUGGAGCCGAAGGGAAACCAAGUCUGAAGAGGGCGCAUAUAGUCAGUAUCCGCAGACCCGAAACCGGGUGAUCUACCCAUGUCCAGGUUGAAGUUGCCGUAAAAGGCAAUGGAGGACCGAACGCACAUCCGUUGAAAAGGGUGGCGAUGAGGUGUGGGUAGGGGAGAAAUUCCAAUCGAACCCGGAGAUAGCUGGUUCUCCUCGAAAUAGCUUUAGGGCUAGCCUCGUUUUAGUCUUAUGGAGGUAGAGCACUGAAUUUCCGCGGGGGCGUCAAAGCUUACCAAAGAAUAUCAAACUCCGAAUGCCAUGUAGAUGAUGAACGGGAGUCAGACUGCACGAGAUAAGUUGGGCAGUCAAAAGGGAAAGAGCCCAGACCGCCAGCCAAGGUCCCAAAGUGUGUGUUAAGUGGAAAAGGAUGUGGGAUCUCCAAGACAACUAGGAUGUUGGCUCAGAAGCAGCCACACAUUCAAAGAGUGCGUAACAGCUCACUAGUCGAGAGGUCCUGCGCCGAAAAUGUCCGGGGCUGAAACACAACACCGAAGCUGCGGAAUUGCGAAUGCAAUUGGUAGAGGAGCAUUCUUAAUACCGACGAAGCUGUACCGGAAGGAGCAGUGGAGGGAUAAGAAGAGAGAAUGCCGGAAUGAGUAGCGAGAGAGAGGUGGGAAUCCUCUCGGCCGAAUAUCCAAGGUUUCCAGAGUAAAGCUGAUCUGCUCUGGGUAAGUCGGGGCCUAAGGCGAGGUCAAGAGACGUAGCCGAUGGACAACAGGUUUAGAUUCCUGUACCGCAUAUAAACAGAACUGUGGGGACGCAUGGGGAGAGCAUGGGCCGGGAAUGGAAAUACCGGUGCAAGCGAAGGAGGUGUGCAGCCGGCAAAUCCGCUGCAUGAGCCGAAAGCGUGACGCGGAGCGAAAUGAAAGUAGCGAAGCAUGUGAGCCCUGUGCCGAGAAAAGCCGCUAUAGCUUUAUAUGUGCCCGUACCGUAAACCGACACAGGUGGAUGAGGAGAGAAUCCUAAGGCCGGCGGAAGAAGUAUUGUUAAGGAACUCGGCAAAAUGACCCCGUAACUUCGGGAGAAGGGGUGCCCACGGGAGUGGGCCGCAGAGAAUAGGCUCAAGCAACUGUUUAGCAAAAACACAGGUCUAUGCGAAACCGAAAGGUGAAGUAUAUGGGCUGACGCCUGCCCGGUGCUGGAAGGUUAAGAGGAGAGGUUAGCGCAAGCGAAGCUUUGAAUUUAAGCCCCAGUAAACGGCGGCCGUAACUAUAACGGUCCUAAGGUAGCGAAAUUCCUUGUCGGGUAAGUUCCGACCCGCACGAAAGGCGUAAUGAUUUGAGCACUGUCUCGACAA